rnacentral:rRNA from 1 species
CAAGAGUACGUGAAACUGCUUAGAGGUUAAGCCCGAUGAACCUGAAUAUCCAAUAUAGAAAAUUCAUCAUCAUGAUUUUUUAAUAUUAAUAAYAUUAUAAAUAAUGGUGUGCAUUUUUUCUAUUACGGACAUUGUAAUCUAUUAAUAUGAAUGCAAUUUAUCAUAAGAUCAUUUGCGAGAGUUUAUUCAAAUUAUUUUGCUUGCAAUUUAACAUAGAAUAAAUGUAUUUGAUUAGAUAAAGUGUUGAUAGAUUUAUUGAAUAUAGUGCUUAAAUAYACAUAUUUUAUAAUAGCAUAAUAAUUAAUUAAUUUUUAUGUUUAUUAUAUGCACUUAUAUGAUUAACAAUGCGAAAGAUUCAGGAUACCUUCGGGACCCGUCUUGAAACACGGACCAAGGAGUCUAACAUAUUUGCAAGUUAUUGGGAAUAAAAACCUAAUAGCGAAAUUAACAUAACUUUAUAUAAUGGGAUUAGUUAUUAGCCUAUUUAUAGUCUAUUGAUUCAAUCCCGGGGCGUUCUAUACAGUUAUGUAUAAUAAUAUUUAUAUUGUUUAUACCUCUAACUAGAGCGUACCUUGAGCAUAUAUGCUGUGACCGA